GGGUUGUGAGGUUAAGCGACUAAGCGUACACGGUGGAUGCCCUGGCAGUCAGAGGCGAUGAAGGACGUGCUAAUCUGCGAUAAGCGUCGGUAAGGUGAUAUGAACCGUUAUAACCGGCGAUUUCCGAAUGGGGAAACCCAGUGUGUUUCGACACACUAUCAUUAACUGAAUCCAUAGGUUAAUGAGGCGAACCGGGGGAACUGAAACAUCUAAGUACCCCGAGGAAAAGAAAUCAACCGAGAUUCCCCCAGUAGCGGCGAGCGAACGGGGAGCAGCCCAGAGCCUGAAUCAGUGUGUGUGUUAGUGGAAGCGUCUGGAAAGGCGCGCGAUACAGGGUGACAGCCCCGUACACAAAAAUGCACAUGCUGUGAGCUCGAUGAGUAGGGCGGGACACGUGGUAUCCUGUCUGAAUAUGGGGGGACCAUCCUCCAAGGCUAAAUACUCCUGACUGACCGAUAGUGAACCAGUACCGUGAGGGAAAGGCGAAAAGAACCCCGGCGAGGGGAGUGAAAAAGAACCUGAAACCGUGUACGUACAAGCAGUGGGAGCCUCUUUAUGGGGUGACUGCGUACCUUUUGUAUAAUGGGUCAGCGACUUAUAUUCUGUAGCAAGGUUAACCGAAUAGGGGAGCCGAAGGGAAACCGAGUCUUAACUGGGCGUUAAGUUGCAGGGUAUAGACCCGAAACCCGGUGAUCUAGCCAUGGGCAGGUUGAAGGUUGGGUAACACUAACUGGAGGACCGAACCGACUAAUGUUGAAAAAUUAGCGGAUGACUUGUGGCUGGGGGUGAAAGGCCAAUCAAACCGGGAGAUAGCUGGUUCUCCCCGAAAGCUAUUUAGGUAGCGCCUCGUGAAUUCAUCUCCGGGGGUAGAGCACUGUUUCGGCAAGGGGGUCAUCCCGACUUACCAACCCGAUGCAAACUGCGAAUACCGGAGAAUGUUAUCACGGGAGACACACGGCGGGUGCUAACGUCCGUCGUGAAGAGGGAAACAACCCAGACCGCCAGCUAAGGUCCCAAAGUCAUGGUUAAGUGGGAAACGAUGUGGGAAGGCCCAGACAGCCAGGAUGUUGGCUUAGAAGCAGCCAUCAUUUAAAGAAAGCGUAAUAGCUCACUGGUCGAGUCGGCCUGCGCGGAAGAUGUAACGGGGCUAAACCAUGCACCGAAGCUGCGGCAGCGACACUAUGUGUUGUUGGGUAGGGGAGCGUUCUGUAAGCCUGUGAAGGUGUGCUGUGAGGCAUGCUGGAGGUAUCAGAAGUGCGAAUGCUGACAUAAGUAACGAUAAAGCGGGUGAAAAGCCCGCUCGCCGGAAGACCAAGGGUUCCUGUCCAACGUUAAUCGGGGCAGGGUGAGUCGACCCCUAAGGCGAGGCCGAAAGGCGUAGUCGAUGGGAAACAGGUUAAUAUUCCUGUACUUGGUGUUACUGCGAAGGGGGGACGGAGAAGGCUAUGUUGGCCGGGCGACGGUUGUCCCGGUUUAAGCGUGUAGGCUGGUUUUCCAGGCAAAUCCGGAAAAUCAAGGCUGAGGCGUGAUGACGAGGCACUACGGUGCUGAAGCAACAAAUGCCCUGCUUCCAGGAAAAGCCUCUAAGCAUCAGGUAACAUCAAAUCGUACCCCAAACCGACACAGGUGGUCAGGUAGAGAAUACCAAGGCGCUUGAGAGAACUCGGGUGAAGGAACUAGGCAAAAUGGUGCCGUAACUUCGGGAGAAGGCACGCUGAUAUGUAGGUGAAGUCCCUCGCGGAUGGAGCUGAAAUCAGUCGAAGAUACCAGCUGGCUGCAACUGUUUAUUAAAAACACAGCACUGUGCAAACACGAAAGUGGACGUAUACGGUGUGACGCCUGCCCGGUGCCGGAAGGUUAAUUGAUGGGGUCAGCGCAAGCGAAGCUCUUGAUCGAAGCCCCGGUAAACGGCGGCCGUAACUAUAACGGUCCUAAGGUAGCGAAAUUCCUUGUCGGGUAAGUUCCGACCUGCACGAAUGGCGUAAUGAUGGCCAGGCUGUCUCCACCCGAGACUCAGUGAAAUUGAACUCGCUGUGAAGAUGCAGUGUACCCGCGGCAAGACGGAAAGACCCCGUGAACCUUUACUAUAGCUUGACACUGAACAUUGAGCCUUGAUGUGUAGGAUAGGUGGGAGGCUUUGAAGUGUGGACGCCAGUCUGCAUGGAGCCGACCUUGAAAUACCACCCUUUAAUGUUUGAUGUUCUAACGUGGACCCGUGAUCCGGGUUGCGGACAGUGUCUGGUGGGUAGUUUGACUGGGGCGGUCUCCUCCUAAAGAGUAACGGAGGAGCACGAAGGUUGGCUAAUCCUGGUCGGACAUCAGGAGGUUAGUGCAAUGGCAUAAGCCAGCUUGACUGCGAGCGUGACGGCGCGAGCAGGUGCGAAAGCAGGUCAUAGUGAUCCGGUGGUUCUGAAUGGAAGGGCCAUCGCUCAACGGAUAAAAGGUACUCCGGGGAUAACAGGCUGAUACCGCCCAAGAGUUCAUAUCGACGGCGGUGUUUGGCACCUCGAUGUCGGCUCAUCACAUCCUGGGGCUGAAGUAGGUCCCAAGGGUAUGGCUGUUCGCCAUUUAAAGUGGUACGCGAGCUGGGUUUAGAACGUCGUGAGACAGUUCGGUCCCUAUCUGCCGUGGGCGCUGGAGAACUGAGGGGGGCUGCUCCUAGUACGAGAGGACCGGAGUGGACGCAUCACUGGUGUUCGGGUUGUCAUGCCAAUGGCACUGCCCGGUAGCUAAAUGCGGAAGAGAUAAGUGCUGAAAGCAUCUAAGCACGAAACUUGCCCCGAGAUGAGUUCUCCCUGACCCUUUAAGGGUCCUGAAGGAACGUUGAAGACGACGACGUUGAUAGGCCGGGUGUGUAAGCGCAGCGAUGCGUUGAGCUAACCGGUACUAAUGAACCGUGAGGCUUAACCUUACAACGCCGAAG
rnacentral:rRNA from 1 species